rnacentral:rRNA from 1 species
CCCCGGCGCCACGAGUGGGAAUCGAUUUAUUGGGUCUAAAGCGUCCGUAGCCGGCUUGGAAAAUCUUUUGUGAAAUUGCUAUGCUCAACGUAGCAACGUGCAGAAGACACUACUAAGCUCGGGACCGGGAGAGGUUUGGAGAAUGCCAAGGGGAGCGGUAAAAUGCUAUAAUCCUUGGUAGACUACCAGUGGCGAAGGCGCCAAACCAGAACGGAUCCGACGGUGAGGGUCGAAAGCUAGGGGAGCAAUCCGG